UUGUCCUUAGUUGCCAGCACGUAAUGGUGGGAACUCUAAGGAGACUGCCGGUGACAAACCGGAGGAAGGUGGGGAUGACGUCAAGUCAUCAUGGCCCUUACGACCAGGGCUACACACGUACUACAAUGGGAGGUACAGAGGGUUGCGAAGCGCGAGGUGAAGCCAAUCCCAGAAAACCUCUCUCAGUCCGGAUCGCAGUCUGCAACUCGACUGCGUGAAGUCGGAAUCGCUAGUAAUCGCGGAAUCAGCAUUGUCGCGGUGAAUACGUUCCCGGGCCUU
rnacentral:rRNA from 1 species